rnacentral:lncRNA from 9 species
UUUUUUAUUUUUUCCUGAAAUUUAAAGCAAAUUGAAGGUAGGGAAUUUGAACUUCUUGCUAGAGUAUUUUGGAAUAAUGUCCAUUUGCUUUUUUGGAAAUUAAUUUUCUACAUCCAUUCACACUGACUAAUGCUCUCUCCUCACGCCCCAAAGAUGAGGUCGAAACUGCAUUGAGAUUUGCUCGCAUGUCUCAUUCUAAUCUAGGAUUAGUACUUAUGUUUCAAAUCCAUGCUCUUUACCUUACUGAGCUGAAAUGCCUACUGUCUUUUGGUUGAUCAAUUCAAGAGACUGAUUUGACUGUUCUCAUAUCUUACCUCUAAUCAAAACGAAUCAACAAAAAAGAGGUACCUUGAUAACUUGGGAAUAAAAAUUCACAUUCUUAAAUUUUGCCACCACUCUCAUCCUUGUCUAGAAAUUGGAAGACUCGGAGUUCCUGUCAUGGCGCAGUGGUUAACGAAUCCAACUAGGAACCAUGAGGUUGCGGGUUCGGUCCCUGCCCUUGCUCAGUGGGUUAAUGAUCCGGCGUUGCCGUGAGCUGUGGUGCAGGUUGCAGACGCGGCUCGGAUCCCGCGUUGCUGUGGCUCUGGUGUAGGCUGGUGGCUACGGCUCCGAUUAGACCCCUAGAAUAAGCUCCAGUAAACUUUCCAAAAGACUGCAUGCAAAAAGAAGACCCUAUCUUUGUCUGUGUUUCUAUAGACAAGAGAAUUCCUUAGGCCAUCUCCCAGAUGAAUCUUUAAAAUGCAGGUUCCACUGGAGAGAGUGUGUGUGUGUGUGUGUGUGUGUGUGUGUGUGUGUGUGUGUGUGUGUGUGUGUGUGUCUUUUUGUCUUUUAGGGUCACACCCACAGCAGAUGGAGGUUCCCAGGCUAAGGGUCCAAUCAGAGCUGAAGCCGAUGGCCUACGCCACAGCCACAAGCAACUUGGGAUCCAAGCCAAGUCUGCAACCUACACCACAGCUCAUGACAACGCCGGAUCCUUAACCCACUGAGCAAGGCCAGGGAUCAAACCUGAGUUCUUAUGGAUACUAGUUGGGUUCAUUAACUGCUGAGCCACAAUGGGAACUCCUCCACUGGAUUUUUAAGAGAUGCUAUGUGAAUUAAAAGAAUUGUGUUUUCCAAUAAAGUUGAAAAAAUGGAUAAAAAGUUAAACAGGUUUCUACACUGCAGAACUUCUCAGGAGAAACUCGUGGAAAGAGGGUACUCUGAAAUACAUUCAGGGGAAAAUGGCUUUCAUUCCUAAGAAUAUAAUUCAGCAAGGGAAUUGCUUCUGUGUUGUGUUUAAGGUUUUGUUCCUCAGUUGAAUUCUAAUUCUAAUUCUAAUUCUAGGUUUGGUUAGUUUCAAAGAUAUGAGCCAUGGAUUCCAAAAAACUUCCUCUAACUAGAGAUGGCUACCUCUGUGUUAUGGAACCAGCUCUGCCAUGCCAGAGUUUCAUAUUCUGUACUUCCAUGAUUUCGGAAGCUUCUGCCAGCCAGUACGGAAAGAAGGUGUUUUCACGUAGAUAAUUCUCCUAUCAAGGGUUCUCUUUGCUCUCUACUCCUGACCAUUAAUCAGGCAAAGCGAUGGGGAGGUCCUCUUCUCUUCUUGGGUUGCCCUCCUUAGGAUUCCCUCCCACAAAGACUAUCCUGUCAUCCAUACUAAUGCAGUUUUCCUUACUUAACAGGAGAAGAAAGCUUCACCUAGAUUCUACAGCCUCCGUGGGCCUGAUCUAAACUCACUUGUGUGGCUUCACUGAUUCCAACCUGAUUCCAUGCAUCUCACCCAACCACUACUGGAGGGCUUUUUGCUUUCGACCACAGUGUAAUUUCCAUGCCCUGUUUUUCUGUUUGGAGUGCAAGGAGGCUGGGUACCUGUUUAUAUCAUACCAUGGCAUUUCCAACUUUAGAAAUGCAAGACUGGUUUAUCUCCUGAUACUAAACUGCAAUUUAAUGUUUGAUACACUCUCAAGAGUUUCCUCUCUUGCUGUUUUCUCGCCUUAUUACUUCAAGAACAUGGGGAGCCUGUUCAAGAAAGGCUGAUGCUCUGUGGUUAUGCGUCUUCUCUGGGAGUUGCAAACACGCCUCCAUCAGCCUGCCAAGCAUAUGCACGGGUGUUCCAAUGUGAAACAGAAGCUUCGCUGAUCAGUGAACAGAACAAACCCCAGCUGCUAGUUUAGCUCCGGCUCCAAUAAGAAGUUAUGACUUCUGCCAUCACCAAGGGCUGGUUAAAGCCCUGAUUCAUGCAUGACCUACCCAGUCCAUAUGGGGUGGGCAACUCAGCUCCAGCUGCAACUUUCUAUUAGAAUUUUAUAGCAUUCAGGAAAAUAAUGCUUCUGAUACCAGUCCAUUGCCAUUUUCUGAUCAUUACUUGAAUAGUGUCAUUUAAAGUCACACACUUUUAAUCUCUAAUGAUACAAUCCGUCUUGCUCAUAGGUAAAAUUUGUGGAGAGCUGCUAAAAGUUCAUCCUCCCAACCAAAGUGCCAUCUCCACCUCUUUAAAUGAAGACAUUCGUCUCUGGAAGUUUCCUCUCCUUGCAUUGACGUGCCCUCGAGAAGAACUCAUUAAGCCAAUGUUUCUUUUCCUUUUUUUUUUUUGGUCUUUUUGUCUUUUUAGGGCUGCACCUGCGGCAUAUGGAGGUUCCCAGGCUAGGUGUCCAAGAGCUGAAGUGGCUGGCCUACGCCAGAGUCACAGCAACGCUGGAUCCAAGCCACAUCUGCAACCUGCACCACAGCUCGCGGCAACACUGGAUCCUUAACCCACUGAGUGAGGCUGGGGAUCAAACCCACGUCCUCAUGGAUGCUAGUCGGGUUCACUAACCACUGAGCCAUGGCGGGAACUCCAAGCCAAUAUUUCUUAAACUUCCCCACCAAGGUAAGCCUAACAGAAGCUGUCUGGAAGGGAAUACAGAAGGCAUUUCUCAAGAGGUGUCAAAUUCCUUUGAAGAAGUUCCUGUUUUGUCUUUUAAACAUAAAUAAAUUCUGUGCUCUACUCCAUAGAUGUUUAUGAUUAUUUUAAUAUAAUUGCAAAUAUGGAAGUGCUUAUAUCAGUCUGGUCAGGAAACAGAAACCAUGCCCAUUGUUUUAACCACGUGUUUAACAUAAAAAAUGGAUAACCAAGUACUGAUGACCUAAAAAAUGCAAAUAGGGAACACGGAGGUUCACAAAGGUGGUAAUGCAGAAAGCAGAACCUCAGGGACGAGAAGUAAAAGGAAAAGGCUGGAAGUUUUACAUCCUAGAAGCAGAGAGGCAGAGACCCACACGGCAUGGAGGUCUCAGCGGGAGGUAACAGGAACAGCAGAGUGGGUACUUCCAAGGGGACCAAUGAGACCCGAUCUGUGCUCCUGGGGAAAACUGCAACAGUUGCUACUGGAACAUCAGAUGCCACAAGGUAAGCAACUAUCACCAGGCAGUCCGUCACUGGGUCACUAAUAGGAAACAGGAAGGAGGUCCCUUUUUUCUCCUCCAGCCUGGCAGCACCCUCUAGCGCCCCCUUUGGCAGAGCCUAAAAAGGAGCAGCUACAAAUGGUAACUGUGUUUGCCCCACACCACUCCCCUGAACACGGAAAGGGAGGGGGCACAGAGGUACAACAGCUUAAUCAACACAGUACUUAGGGUUUUUUCCAGUAUCAGUUCUAGUUGAAUUGAGGCUCCAAGAAGAGGUACCAUGUUGAUUUUUAUCAAUGGCUUUAUAUACUUCCAAAAAACACUUCAGAGACUUGACAAUGCACCAGCAGUAGCUUUUACUCAUCAGGCAUUUAGCAAAGUCCAAGGACACAGGGUUCCCAUCCCAGUCCAGCCACUUCUUGUGUGGCCUGAGGCACAUCACCUUCUCAGCUACCUCUCUUCUAACCUGAAGGAGUUUGAUUAAAUUUUCUUCAAGUGCCUUCCAAUUUUAUAUUACUGGAGAUUAUUACAGGAAAGCUCAUAAGCACCAUUUCUUGGAGUGGAAAACAGUGAGAUUUCUAAGACUCAAUUGGGCACUGUGGACAAAGAAUAUUGCCUCUGUUUUCAGUAAACCGUCAAGUCACCAGCCAUUGCAGCCGCCUGCCAGUGCACCCCAAGGGGAAUUCAGGAAGAGAAAAAUGAGCUACUGGCCCUAGAGAGGUAAGGUGCACAGCAAAGCAAUAAUUUCAAUGAGCCCAGACUCUUGCAUCUUCCCAUACACAGAAAAUCAUUACCUUGAGAUAUCUGUUUUCCGUGACUAGCAGUAAUCUUUUGAGGUUCAGCUAUACGGUGUGGUUUUUUGUUUGGUUUGGUUUGGUUGGUUUGGGGUUUCUUUUUGUUGUUGUUCCAGCAGAAGACCCUAACAUCCCGGCUCCUCCCCUACCUCUUUGGAGCAGUUCUACGGAGCUGAGAGCCUGUCUCCUGGGCUCUUCUCCUCAGUAAGCUCCCAGAAUAAAACUUAACUGGCAACUUUUAGAUUGAGUGUUUGUGUCCAGUCGACAGCACUAGAAGUAACUUAUGGGUACUGGGAGGAGGAGAGCCUUGAAGAGAUGAGAGAGAAGGAAGUAAAACAGGAAUGGAAGGGGUUCCCGCUGUGGCACAAUGGGAUCAGCCGCAUCUCUGCCAGGUCGCAGGUUCGAACCCAGGCCCGGCACAGUGGGUUAAGGAUCUGGCAUUGCCAUAGCUGUGGUGUUGGUCACAACUGCAGCUUGGAUCUGAUCCCUGGCCCAGGAAUUCCACAUGCUGCUGGGAAAACAAAAAAAAGAAUGGAAGAUGGAAGAGUGCUGAUGAGAAAUCCUUGCGAAUAGUAAGGUGAGACCAGACACUCAGAGCAGGAGAGAGCAUCUGACGUUUCUGUGAUUCUGAUGACUUGAAUGUUGCUCCGUGGCCCAUCUCAUGCUUUCUGGUGGUUGUGAAAUGUAACUGUUGUGUGCGCCAUAAUCCUGGUGGGAACAGGAGGGGAUGGACACAAGUGCCCUUAGGGGAAAGCCAGCCUUUCCUCUGCAGUAGGGAGUCAGAGGUCUAGGCUGGACACUUAAGCCUCUCUUCCCUUCACGACUGUGAAAACAGAGGGUGGGGGACCUGUGCGUAUUGCCGUCUGCCACAAAGAUUCCCUUCAUAGAGAUGAAAUGCUCUGAGUUUCUGGGUAGAAUGGUGUUAUUUCAACGCAUCGUACGCGUAGAGGUAAGUACCAAAGGAGAGACAAUGUUUGUGCUAGGCUUUGUGUGUGUGUGUGUGUGUGUGUGUGUGUGUGUGGUAUUGAUGUCAAGUUGCUUGCAAUUCUCCUACAACUCCUGUGAAUCUGGUUACAAAUCACUUGGUAAUGAAAAACCCUCUCCGAGAUAUCAUGGCUGAUUUAAUGAGGGCCAAAACCUAUCAUAACAGACUGUUAAUCUGAGCUGGUGGGGUUUUUUUCCCUUUGUUUCAUUUUCAAAGAUUUUUAUUAUGGUUAGAUAUUUGAUAAUAUUCUUUAUUAGACUGAUAAGUUUUGAAUUGCUUUUCAUUUUAUUAUCACAUUAGUUCCUUCUUAAUGGUUUUACUAGAACUCAGAAGCCUCUGGAGUUUUAAUAACCUCUUUUUUCAGGACUUAUAGUCAUGGAAUUAAUUACAUAAAAGCAUGAUCCUUCACUGAAUGUGUCACCAGGCCAGAAGAAGAAAAUUCAGUAGGAAGAAUUAGACCUUGAAGAGUGAUUGACGAUUCAUCUCACUACAUAUUUUUCACUUUGAGACUUUCAUUUGCUUUGCUGUAGCACAAUUUCCUUUUUUUCCGCCUCUAAGAAUAUCCUUCAGACUGAGGAAUGCUUUGGAAUUCUCUGAACUAGGAGUGAUUAAAAUUAAACUUUUUAGACAAGAGUUGAUUUUUUUAAGUAUAUGAAAGGACAUGUUUUUGUUUGCAUAUUUUCCUUGUACUGACUUUGUUUAAAGGAAAGGCAAAGAGAAGGUGAACUGCAAGAAAUUAUCAAAUUAGAAAUUAGCAAAUUUUCUCAGGAUCUUAUCUUCAUGUUUAUCUUCCUUGGUUCAUAGUGGCAGCAAUUCUCUUAAAAACAAAUUGUCUAUUAAUUAAAGUCCUGAGGCCAAAUCUCCCUUGUUAAAUCAUAAUUACUUAAAGAACAAAAUGUUAGAUAUAACAGGCUCAGAGAGAACAGAAAUUUUAAAUCAUUUUUUUUAUCUUAGAUCUUGACAACCAAUGAGGCUAUCAAGUGGAAGUCAGUGGCCAGGUUUUCAAAAGGGAAUAAUUAAAUGCCCAAUAAUGAGAUGAAGAGUUGGGCAAAUGAGAAUCACAGUUUUUAAAAAAUUAAUUAUCAAAUGAACAAUUAUCUGGGGUGAUCAGAAACUUCCACGUUUCCCAGAGAACAGUACAUUAUGUACAUCACCACUAAACUCUCUCCAGCAACUGCAAAUUAGAACACUAUCUCCAUGUCAAAGUCUCUCUGCUAACAUAUAACAGGUGUGCAAUAAACAUCAACUGAAUAAGGGGCUUUGUUCAAUUAAUGGUUUUAAUCAGAUAAAAGAAAACUAAGUCUAUCCAACAUAACUUCCUGAUCGAAGAUGUAAAAUUGGCAACUAAUCAAUUAUUGAUGGAUUUGAUUUUUUUUUUUUUUUUUUUU